GGGCGGUUAGCUCAGCGGUAGAGCAUUGCCUUCACACGGCAAGGGUCGCAGGUUCGAUCCCUGCAUCGCCCA
rnacentral:tRNA from 1 species